rnacentral:rRNA from 1 species
ACGGGAGGCAGCAGUGAGGAAUAUUGGUCAAUGGGCGUAAGCCUGAACCAGCCAAGUCGCGUGAGGGAUGAAGGUUCUAUGGAUCGUAAACCUCUUUUAUAAGGGAAUAAAGUGUGGGACGUGUCCUAUUUUGUAUGUACCUUAUGAAUAAGGAUCGGCUAACUCCGUGCCAGCAGCCGCGGUAAUACGGAGGAUCCGAGCGUUAUCCGGAUUUAUUGGGUUUAAAGGGUGCGUAGGCGGCCUUUUAAGUCAGCG